rnacentral:rRNA from 1 species
CAGCCGCCGCGGUAAUACGUAGGGUGCGAGCGUUAAUCGGAUUUACUGGGCGUAAAGCGUGCGCAGGCGGCCCGUUAAGACAGGUGUGAAAUCCCUGGGCUCAACCUAGGAAUUGCGCUUGUGACUGGCGGGCUCGAGUACGGUAGAGGGGGGUGGAAUUCCUGGUGUAGCAGUGAAAUGCGUAGAGAUCAGGAGGAACACCGAUGGCGAAGGCAGCCCCCUGGGCCUGUACUGACGCUCAUGCACGAAAGCGUGGGGAGCAACAAGGAUUAGAUACCCUGGUAGUCCACGCCCUAAACGAUGGGUACUAGCCGUUUGGUGCGCGAUAGCGCUGAGUGGCGAAGCUAACGCGUGAAGUACCCCGCCUGGGGAGUACGGCCGCAAGGUUGAAACUUAAAGGAAUUGGCGGG